UACGGAGGGGGCUAGCGUUGUUCGGAAUUACUGGGCGUAAAGCGCGCGUAGGCGGCUUUGUAAGUUAGAGGUGAAAGCCCGGAGCUCAACUCCGGAACUGCCUUUAAGACUGCAUCGCUAGAAUUGUGGAGAGGUGAGUGGAAUUCCGAGUGUAGGGGUGAAAUUCGUAGAUAUUCGGAAGAACACCAGUGGCGAAGGCGACUCACUGGACACAUAUUGACGCUGAGGUGCGAAAGCGUGGGGAGCAAACAGG
rnacentral:rRNA from 1 species